UACGUAGGGUGCGAGCGUUAAUCGGAAUUACUGGGCGUAAAGCGUGCGCAGGCGGUUCGCCAAGUCAGGUGUGAAAUCCCCGGGCUUAACCUGGGAAUUGCGCUUGAAACUAGCGGGCUUGAGUGUGGCAGAGGGGGGUGGAAUUCCACGUGUAGCAGUGAAAUGCGUAGAGAUGUGGAGGAACACCGAUGGCGAAGGCAGCCCCCUGGGUCAACACUGACGCUCAUGCACGAAAGCGUGGGUAGCAAACAGG
rnacentral:rRNA from 1 species